AUUUCUAAAUCGCUUAAGCAUAAUUGCGCGGGGGACCCAUUGUGUUCUGGGGUGAAUCCAUUAUGGUAGGGCUACUCAGUAGGCACGAAUCCGACAGCUAACUCCUCAGCGUUUUAUGAGAAGGAAG
rnacentral:sRNA from 2 species